UGGGUCUUUGGGGAGCUCAGGCAUUUCCCUGAGUGUCUGCUUCUCUGCUGAACUUGGAGCUUGACAUCAUGAAACAUGUAUGAGGUGGCACUCUCUGAGCACCGCGAACAUCAAUCCCAGUAAUGCUGCUGUUUACUCUGCCACAGUCUCAUAAAAGCCUUCAUUUGCAUUCACACACAUAGACAGACGUGCACAUAUUUGUAAUUUAUGUCACUGUUUCCCAACAAGGAACUGAAACAGAAGUAGAUGAUAAGUGUGAUUCAUGAUUUCUGAGGCGUUAACGAUGUUGGGGGCAAAGCAUUCAGAGUAAUGGAUUUACAGUAAUCUCAUUAUAAAAGGUGGAUGUCUUCUCACAUCAUGCAGAUUAAUCUCAAAUACCAAGAUAGCAUUAAAUUACUGUAAUGUUUUCAUUUUUAUGCCCAUAAGAUAUUUAUGAGAUCAUUAUUUUUCUUCCUUGUAACCUCAUUUCUGAUGUGCAAUGUUUAUGUAAAUUGUGCUGUUUUGAUAGAUUUAGAUGAAUAUUUAACUUUUAAAAUGAUUCACAGAAUCUGUCCUCCAUUAUUAGAUUACAUUUUGAGGUGUUAGACAUGACUCAUGGUUAAGGUCUUUACCCCUGUCUCAACAUUGAAUACUACAAGAGCUGAAACAUUGGAUAUUAGACCUGAUUGUAAAAUGUGCUCGUACAAGACAUGAGAAAAGACAACUUUGUUUAGAUCACAGGUGAUGAAAUGGAGAAAUCUCACCCCUUCAAGCAACGCAGAAGUCUGUCUCACAGGACAGAGCGAGCAACAAACUCUGGGUUCUCUACUUGUUGCAGCAGUAAGUGUGCGCAGCUGCUCUGGUGCCCUUUCAUGACUGAAUUUGCCAUCUCCAUGGUGUAUUGUCUUUUGAGUGACUUCAGAGACAUUUCAGAGAAAUCAGAUUUGAGCUGCCAGACUGAGAUGCAUCUUUGGUAAUAAUAUUAAAAAUCUUAUUUCAAACUACGCAAACUACUUGAUUCAAGUGUUGCCUAAAUCUGAUGAACAAAGAUUACAUUUCAUGUACUUUUUUUCCCCUUUCCUGACUGAAGGAACAACAGGCAGCAGUUCGAACAAGAAAAGAUCAAGAGCUUUGAAGAGACUUUGAGACUUGGUUUUGACAUGUCAGCUAUUUUGACACCUGACUUGAGACAUAACUCUGUAAAUGUUGCAAGUUUCCUGUUUUCAGAAGUCCCUUUUACCCUUUUAGUUUUCCACACGGUAUCAUUCUGAUGUGAGAGUUGUUUGAACUGUUUCUUACUUGUUUGGACAAAGCUUGUACUUGAAAACAGACUCACUUGGGAUGCAGUCUAAGACUUGAGACUGACAUUGGACCUGGUGUCAGGUCCAGUGUCAGGUGGACUUGAUUCUUAGCUAGAAACCUCCUUGGAAAAUUGUUCAGAGCUUAUACUGUGACUUAAAUGAGCAAUGUGUAGAAAUGGGAACAUUGAGUGAUAUCUGAAGGUCAGAUUCUAGAUUGAAAUGCUCCCUUGCUCACCCAUCCUGUGGGUGAAACCAUGGUGGCUUUUCAGGACAAAAAGCUGCAUGAUAGUAUGAUCCUCCCUUUGUCAAGUUUUUUUUAUUUUUUUAUUUUUUUUUUUUAAUCAAAAAUACCAAUCAAACUAAAGUCUAUAGCACAUAACAACCACUCUGCUCUUCUCUGUCUUUCAAAUUAUAAUCCUUUUCUGCCAAGUCUGUUUGGGCCAUAGCCACUAAUAUUACAUACUGAAUCUUUCAUUAAGUCUUCCUCUGAAAGAACCUUAAAGCAGCUCUGCUAAAAGGUUUCCACAAAAAAAAUUUACAGAAUAUUGACACAAGUCAAUCUACUAUCUGUCUAUCUUGCUCAUUACCUGACUGUAUUUUAUUUUUGGUUCUGAUUGGUCAAAACCCCCAGACAAAGUAACGAGAACUGAGUUUAGUUUAGGAUGAAACAGCCCUGUCUGUAAGAACACUGUCGUAAGACGAAACUGAGGGACCUUUAAGGUGUCAUUUUGUAAUCAAUUUAAUCAUUUUAAAUUGAUACCUGAUGUCAGCUUAUCUGUACAUUUCAUUGAUGACUGGUUUAUAAGAGGGAUAUGAUAUAAUUAGCUGGUGAUAUUACAUUAUAUGUUGAGUUAGCUGUUGGGUAUGCCACAUAGAGUCCCCUCAUGUUGGGGUCCUAUUUCCCCUGAAAGGACUCCAUGAGGCAUUUUAAUCAGCUAAUUGAGCAUAACCCUUCGCAUAAUGUCACCACUUUGGUUUUUAAGCCUCAUGUAAGAGUCUGAAUGCACAGGUUUAAAUCACUAAAUGUUUUUUUUUUUUAAAAUCAGAAAAGAAGCAGAGACAAAAGGGAGAAUUGCAACCAUAAAUGGUGCAGUUUUUCCAGUGUAGUAGUUCAGCUAAGCUUGGGGCAGAUGUUGGGGUCCUCACAGUCUCUAAGGAUACACUAAUUAUCACCUCCAGGUAACGUCCUGCACUCUUCUUGGCCAGCUGAAAAGGCGCUCUCUUUCUCUCAGUUCCACUACUCCACUGUUAUUGUCAUCUCUGCUGAACCCAACUCUUCCUCCUCAGUCCGACCUCUUCCUCAACUCUACGUUAUUUUGUUGUUGUUGUUGCUGUUGUUUUUUACAAUGCCCCCACUCCACACACAUGCACUCACGAACAAACACCACUAUGUCCCUUUGUUUGAUAGAUACCAUUAUAAAGAGGGUGCAUUUAUACUUAGGGAGAAUUCAUCCUUUUACACAGUGUGUUUUAAAAUUAUUUUGUGAUGCAUGAAUACACAAAGACUAAGACAAAAAAGCUUAGUUUUCUCUCUUAGGCCAAAAUAGGUUUCCAUGGAUGACUUUACCUAAAGGUUGCACCUGUACUUAUACUGUUAGGAGGAAUACAUUAUAAACAGGUCAUUUUAGACACCCAUUAAGUCAAAGAUAUUGAAACAUAACACAUUUAUUGAGUGGUGAGCAUGCACAAAAGCAACUACACACAACUACACCACAGCGCCCACUGCUGGCUGAGUGAUCAAAGCCAGUGAUAUACGUCUAGGUCAAUAAUAGAAACUGUAACGAUGCAGCAUCAACCUUUGCUCUUGCCUCAUUGGCUCUUACUUCCUUCUGCUGAGCAAAUGCGUGUACUGUUGUGUCUGUUAAGUUUUCCUUAUUUUUACAUUUUUCAUGUCUUGUCCUUCCUGUUUUUAUUUUAAAGUCAUGAACCCUUGUCUCUGUUUCAGAUGCGGUUCUGCCUGCCCUGCCCCUGUCUUGUCACAACUGCCUCCUGAUUGUCUCUCCCCACCUGUUUCCCAUCACCCUCAUUACCUCUUCUAUUUAACCUCAUGUCUUCCAUCAGUUGUCUCAUCACAAGUUCAUUGUACAUCACAGUCUUGGUUCCAGCAUUUGUUUUACAGUCAGAGUCAUAGCUUUUGUUGUAUUUUGAAUCUUGCAUGCUUCUUUGGACCUUGCCUUUUGCCUCUUGUUUUUUGGAUUCCUCUGCCAGUUCUAACUGCCUUCCUGUGUCCUGCCAUUUUGCUUGUUUUAAUAAACCUUUUGAUUCUUGGUCUGGUGUCUUGAAUUUGUGUCAGCUUGUUCUAAGCCUUGUUUGAUAACAGGGACCUAACUAUGCUACAGUUCCUUAACACUGUAGCAGGGGUGACCAUGGAGGCUAAAACUGAUGGAAAUGCUUCAUUGUUUUUGUUUGUUUGUUUUGUUUGUUUUUUUAUUUACAGCAACGUUUUUAUCACUCAGAACUGUGGAUUAUGUUGACUGGAACAUAGUGCUUGUGUGGGCCAAAUAGAGGGGUGGAAAUGGUAAAAAAAAAAAUGUAAAAAAGGCAAACCGGGAGAUCAUGAAGAGAGAGGAGUAAGAUAGGGCAUGUGAGAGACAGAUUAAGGGUCCAUGGGAGACUAGAAAAGCAGGAAGAGAAUGGAGUCCUAGGGGAUCUGAUUAUCAGAUUAAGCAGAAAAUGCUACAUCAUCAAAAUCACAGCAUGGAAAUGAAAGGUUUCCUUGUAGGGAAAAAACUAAUCUCCUGUUUCUAAUUGGAUCAAUCCUGGGCUCAGCAAGAAGACUAUCGGAAAUCAGAAUGGAAUGACUUUGAAUUCCUAUUUACAUAAAACACGUUCCAAUUCCUGAACUGAGGGUGAGGAUCCUACUGGCCAGGGAGCUCAAAAUUGAAUCAUAUUAACAUUUCUAUCCUUAUUUGGGGUCAGGAAUUGACAUGUACUUUUUGACACUGUAUUUUCUGCCUGUUGAGUUCUGCGGCAGCUACCAAAUGCACUAUCGAGAUAAUUCAUCCAAACUAAAUGAUGGUUGAUAAAGGUUUUUGCCAGUGAACAAAAAACAAAAUUACUGGCCCUUAGUGACCAUUUUAUCAAAUACAUGUGAAAGGAGUAAUAUUUAGCUUGAUACGAUAGUACUAUAAGGAACUUUUGGAUUUCUGCUUAGCAACCUGAAAUUGCUAUUCUAUACAAUCAGACCAAAUUUGAGUGAAAACACAAUCCAGGGACUGUUCAAAAUUUGACAAAGUGAUGGGUGAUGACAAAAAUGCCUUAUUAAUCGGAAAAAAAGGCUAAUGGUGAUAUCAGCCUUAUUGGGGCUGAUAAAGAUAUCAUGCCAAUUAUGUCAAAAUGCUAAAAAUCAGCCAGAUUAAUCUGUCCAUCUCUAGUUUAAACCACGUAAAUGUUUCAGUGGUACUUCACUGAAGAUUAUGCAAAACAUACUGAAUACUGUCCAGUUUUACUGCCAGUUCCCUGAGGAAGAAAUGUAAAAACAGAAAAAACAUCAGACCUAGCCAAGCAGGCAGUGAAAGUCCUGCAGAGUGCAUCACUGUUCUUGACGAUUGCAUCAACAAAAACCAGCACAGCAAACCUGACAAACACAACCUGUAGAGACCCAGGAAGUCUUUACCAAUAACUUUUAUAUUCUUGCUCAGGGUAAACUGCUCUGAACAGGUCAGCAGAGGUGUGAGUUUGAUGAAAGUGAUGUCAGAUAUUUCUGUUGAGAGCAGGUUUGACAAGGAAUCCUUCAAAAGAAGCAGUGCUGGCUACGAAAAGCCCCACACUUUAGUAACUGCUGAGAGUGGGAUGCCUGCACAGCUGCCUUCCAAGCACGGCACUGUCUCCCACUUGCAGUGAACUACAGAGAGGCAUGAAAAAAGCUGCAGUGAAUUGUGCAUCGCUUCCCCGCCUCUGACGAUCUUCUAUACACAGAAAACACACCAUGGAUGAAAAAUAUAACACAUAAACAAUUUCCAAACUGGGACACAGGAAGCCUCUGCAUAGAUUCUUGAAAUGCUGACGCAUGGAGCCAAUUCAAGGCAAUAUUUCUGGAUGAAACCAAAAAGCAUUCAUGUUGAUGAAAGAGAGAUUAUGAGGGAUCCUUUCCCCUGCCCAGAAAGCUUAGAAGUUAUUAGUGUUGUAACAACCCUGGCAGGGACCCACUAACUCCCCUGCCAAGUCUGAACCUCUUAUUGGUCAGGGGGCUGUAGCUUUUUGGAUCAAAUUUUUUUUUUUAAUACAAGUUGGGACAUCCUGUCCAAUGGCUCGAAACCAGGACCAGUACUGCUACAUGGUCAGAGCAAUUGCAGCAUAGCCUGUGUGCAACAGAGGCCUAAAUAUAUAUAUAUAUAUAUAUAUAUAUGUAUGUAUAUAUGCGUGUGUGUGUGUGUGUGUGUGUGUGUGUGUGUGUGUGUGUGUGUGUGUGUGUGUGUGUGUAUAUAUAUGCGUGUGUGUGUGUAUGUGUGUGUGUGUACAUAUUAUACACAUAUUAUAUACAUUUUAUGUAAGGUUGUAACUAUGAGUCUUUGAAAACAGGACAUAGUCAUUUGAUCUUUGUACUUAGAUAUAUGUAAUUAAGUUCUUUUUUAAGAAGUGGGAUAUCUAAAAAUCUCAGAGUGUCUAAAUUAAUGCAAUAUAUUCCCUCCAUUGGACCAGUUGUGAUUACAGUCUGAAUAAAUAUCUGACAACAAUCUCCACUGGUACUGUUUGAAUGUUUAAACUGUAUACUGUAAAAUUUAACGUAUCAUUUUUCCUUUUCUUUUUCUUGAGCAGCACAGAUGUUACUUUUAUCAGAUUCUUAGGAAGUGAUAAAAGAUAAACAAAUGUUAGCUCUACUUUGCCUGCUAAUGACUCUGAUUUGUCUUGAGUAGUGAUGAGUAAUGAUUAUUAACUGUGAGUCAAAAGAAUUGCUCCUGCAAAUUAGUUUGAGUUAUGUAAUUAGUUUUCUCAUUUAUUAGAUGAUAAGUUCUGUUCUCUCUUAGACAUCAACAACAACAAUCAGCUAACCACUUAAUUCUUUAUGUUAGAGUACAUUUUGGCCCAAAGACAUGCCAUCCUCUUUCAGUAUUAUUUUACUCAGUAUUCCAUGGGAUAUUUCAGGUGUGAUGGAUAUCUCUUGUGAGCAGCCAGAAAAAAAGAUACACAGCUACAGCACCACACUGGUGUAUUCAAUGCCUGGCAUUAAGGAGGAAAAACUACAUUAGCAGGGUUGUCAUGUACUGAGCUGUGGGAUACAUUACAGCCAGAAGCAGUUUUAAAACAAGUUGGGGCCUUGCCAAGAAGUCUCAAAGCAAUAUC